UACGUAGGGUGCAAGCGUUAAUCGGAAUUACUGGGCGUAAAGCGUGCGCAGGCGGUGAUGUAAGACAGAUGUGAAAUCCCCGGGCUCAACCUGGGAACUGCAUUUGUGACUGCAUCGCUGGAGUGCGGCAGAGGGGGGAUGGAAUUCCGCGUGUAGCAGUGAAAUGCGUAGAUAUGCGGAGGAACACCGAUGGCGAAGGCAAUCCCCUGGGCCUGCACUGACGCUCAUGCACGAAAGCGUGGGGAGCAA
rnacentral:rRNA from 1 species